rnacentral:rRNA from 1 species
UUCUAUCAGAAAUAAUUGAUAGUAAAAUCUGCUCAAUGAAUAUAUAAAUAGCCGCAAUGYGCUAAGGUAGCAUAAUAAUUUGUCUUUUCAUUAAAGACUAGAACAAAAGAUUUAACAUUUAGAUUAAUCUUUCAAUUUUAUAUUUCCAAAUUAUCUUAAACGUAACAAGACGUUAAUUCAUAAGAUAGACGAUAAGACCCUAUUGAAUUUAACUUAAGUUUAACUGGGGAAGUUUCAUAAAAAAAAUUUAUGAUACUAUUUCAUAAAAGACCAAAUAUCAUUUAUAUUAUGAUCAAAUUACCAUAGGGAUAACAGCGCUAUUAUUUUUUAAAGAUCAUAUACAAAAAAUAAAUUACGACCUCGAUGUUGAAUAAUUCAACUAUUAUUUUAAACGCAAUAGUCACAAUAGUAAGUCUGUUCGACUUUUAAAUCAUUACA